UACGGAGGGUGCAAGCGUUGUCCGGAAUCACUGGGCGUAAAGGGCGCGUAGGCGGCUCAUGAAGGCUGUGGUGAAAGUCCGGGGCUCAACCUCGGAUCGGCCGUGGCGACUCGUGGGCUGGAGCACUGUAGAGGCAGAUGGAAUUCCGGGUGUAGCGGUGGAAUGCGUAGAGAUCCGGAAGAACACCGGUGGCGAAGGCGGUCUGCUGGGCAGUAGCUGACGCUGAGGCGCGCAGCGUGGG
rnacentral:rRNA from 1 species